AGAAAGAACCUCAAGAAACCCUUUUCUCUUUCUUUGCAUAUGUCAGAUAUGCAUGUAAGGGGACACCUAGGCAAGGCACUGAAAGCAUGGGAAGAGAGAACCUUCACUUCAAUGUAGCUGUAAACUGAACUGUUUUUUAGAGUGUCAGGUUUAUAAAUAGCAUUUGGUUAAAUAGAUUUUCACGUGGUUCUUUCGCCUGCUUCUUUGGCAACCCAACGGUGUAUGUAACUGCUUGCAGAUGUUGUUCUGGAUACUGAACAGAGGGAAACAGUUCUGAACAGUAGGAAAGCACCGAUUUACACUUGGUUAGAGGCAUUUGUACACCUGUAAGUGGAAGGGACAGUGAGGAAGCAAAUGAGGCAAUCCUACUUCCCUCUCCAAACCUUCCCUCCACCCCCCUCUUACUGGUUAUGAAAAGGUGAUCUAGAGAGUAGGGAUGAGGGUAGCCUGAGAAGAUUACAAAAAAAAAAAAAAAAAUAAUGUAGGGAAUGAUUUAUUUUAGUAAUAGGAUCUUUCCUGCAUCAAUCUGACCUAGUAACUUUUCCUAGAACAGAGUAGAUCUUUGUGGAACACUUUAGGUUUGCUAGGGUUGAACUUGAAUCUAGCAGGAUGAGAUAGGUUGGGUUCAGAUGGCUUUAGAGAAAACAUAUGUUUGGCCAGCACUGGUCUAAGUAGAGAGCAUCUAAUUGAGGUUAAGGGAAUUGAGGUUAAAUCCAGCAUCUCCGUAAUCCUGCAGCCUUUUUAAGAAUACCAUGAUUCCAGAGGAAUGCAAUAUCUAGUUGUAGCUGGUCUGUAGAUUCUAUAAACAUGGUAGUAUUAGCCUUUCUCUUCUUUUUGCCUCUGUGUGAGGCACUGUGAGCAUAUGAGUUCAAUUAUGAUGAGAGCUGAAUUGAGUUUGAUGCUGCUAGAAGAGGGAGAUCUUGCUCUAAUUAUGUGGUUUCAUGCCCUGUGAUACCCACCCUUCCUUUAUGCCAGCUUUAGUAUUCAUCUGAUCUGUAUAAGCCAGGUGCACUACAAAAAUAUGUAAUUGUUGAAUGGUUGUUAUUCUGCUGGUUUCACUGGCUUGACAAGACCUACAUUGCAGUCAGGGCUAGCUCAAGGUAGAAAACUUACGAAUGGAGGGAGAGAAGCAUGCAGGACAGCUUCCCGCUUCUCACCUUUGACAAGAAUGAACUACUAAGGCCAUAUCAUAAAACACUUUGUUGUUGCUUUUUGUGAAGCAUGUUUGGCUUUUUUACAUGUUAAACAGAAGGAUAGCCUCCAAGCUCUUUUCUGCAGUAAU